rnacentral:rRNA from 1 species
CCUACGGGAGGCAGCAGUGGGGAAUUUUGGACAAUGGGCGCAAGCCUGAUCCAGCCAUGCCGCGUGAGUGAAGAAGGCCUUCGGGUUGUAAAGCUCUUUCGGCGGGGAAGAAAAGGUUCGUGCUAAUACCACGAACUAAUGACGGUACCCGAAGAAGAAGCACCGGCUAACUACGUGCCAGCAGCCGCGGUAAUACGUAGGGUGCAGGCGUUAAUCGGAAUUACUGGGCGUAAAGCGUGCGCAGGCGGUUUGUUAAGACAGAUGUGAAAUCCCCGGGCUUAACCUGGGAACUGCGUUUGUAACUGGCAAGCUAGAGUGUGGCAGAGGGGGGUGGAAUUCCAAGUGUAGCAGUGAAAUGCGUAGAUAUUUGGAGGAACACCGAUGGCGAAGGCAGCCCCCUGGGCUAACACUGACGCUCAUGCACGAAAGCGUGGGGAGCAAACAGGAUUAGAUACCCUGGUAGUCCACGCCCUAAACUAUGCCAUUGGUGUCGGGANCAUUCCUUGGUAACGAGCUAACGCGUGAAGUUGACCGCCGUGGGGNGGUACGGCCGCGACGGUUAAACGUACGAAGGUAAGUUAGUACGGCGUUGAGACGUUGCCGACGGCGACGACGAGGGAGGAGG